rnacentral:lncRNA from 10 species
CAAAAAACAUUUUUUCUUUUUAAUUUUUAAUUAAUUAUUAUUAUUUUUUAAUAGCGAUGAGGUCCCACUAUUCUGCCCAGGCUGGUCUUGGAACUCCUGGGCUCAAGCAGUCCUCCCACCCUGGCCUCUCUAAAUGCUGGGAUUAUAGGCAUGAGCCACCACACCCAGCCUCAGAAAUUUUAUCAGUUGUUGUUUUAUAUAUUUUGAGGCUAUAUGAGUAGGUGCUUUUAUGUUCCUGGUGUUUGUAUUUUCUUGUAUUACCUCAUUCUUUGUCUUUUAUAUUUUUCCUCUUGUAUCCUCUUUUGUCAAAUAUUAAAAUUACUUCCCUGAUUUUUUUUUGGUUUAUAUUUGCUUCAUGUAUUUUCUUCCUUUUGUUUAUUCCUUCUAUUUUCUUGUUUAAAUAUUUGAAAUGGUUUUUUAUUUUUUUUCAGAUGGAGUUUCACUCUUGUUGCCCAGGCUGGAGUGCAAUGGUGUGAUCUUGGCUCACUGCAACCUCCACCUCCUAGAUUCAAGCGAUUCUCCUGCCUCAGCCUCCCGAGCGGCUGGGAUUAUAGGCAUGUGCUACCACGCCUGGCUAAUUUUUUUGUAUUUUUAGUAGAGAUGAGGUUUCUCCAUGUUGGUCAGGCUGGUCUCGAACUCCUGACCUCAGGUGAACCGCCUGCCUUGGCUUCCCAAAGUGGUGGGAUUAUAGGCAUAAGCCACUGCGCCCAGCCCGUGAUAAAGUUUUUUUAUUUUCAGUGUUUCUCUUGUAUGCAACAUAUUGCUGAACCUUAAGGAAGAAACUCAACCCAGGAACGUUUGUCUUUUAAGAAGUGUGUUUACUUUACCCAUCUUUAUUACAAUUACUAUAAUAUUAGGACUUAUUCUGCCAUUUAAUUUUAUAUUUUUCAUGUACUGUGCCUUCUUUGUUGUUUCUUUCCCCACCUUUGUUACUUUCCAUUACAUAGAGCCAACAUUCUUCUCAUGUUUUGAAAACUAUACAUUCUAUUUUCUUGUUAAUGUAGUUGCUUUAAUUUGACUUUAUGCUACUUCAUUGAAUAAUUUUUAAUUAUUUAUAUUCUUCCUAAUAAUAAAGUUCCUU